UACCAGCUCUCCGAGUGGUAGGGAUGAUUAUUGGGCUUAAAGCGUCCGUAGCCGGCUUAGCAAGUCUCCUGUUAAACUCAGCGACCUAAUCGUUGAUCCGCGGGAGAUACUACUAGGCUAGGAGGCGGGAGAGGUCGACGGUACUUCCGGGGUAGGGGUGAAAUCCUAUAAUCCUGGGAGGACCACCAGUGGCGAAGGCUGUCGACUAGAACGCGCUCGACGGUGAGGGACGAAAGCUGGGGGAGCGAACCGGAUUAGAUACCCGGGUAGUCCCAGCUGUAAACGAUGCGGGCUAGGUGUUGGGGUGGCUACGUGCCACUUCAGUGCCGCAGGGAAGCCAUUAAGCCCGCCGCCUGGGGAGUACGGCCGCAAGGCUGAAACUUAAAGGAAUUGGCGGGGGAGCACCACAAGGCGUGAAGUUUGCGGUUC
rnacentral:rRNA from 1 species